AACUCACUCUUCUAUAUUCUAUUUUGUGAUGUGGGACUGGGGCUUUGCAAAGCAUGUUUCUAUGCUGCUGGUUGUCUGGUUCCAUGCAGUAGUGGCAGGGGCGAGACACUGGGAUCCUAGAGGAAGAAGGACUUGAUCCUUUCUUUGGCUUCAUUUUCCUAUGGCAUCACCUGCUUCUUCAACCCAGCAGGACAUUUGUUACAGUGAUGGAAGUCAAUCUCAGUUUACAAAUUUUCCCUAUAUUCUUCUAGAAUCUGCUUUAUCUCACCUUCUCUUAGUAGCUACCUGCCAGCCAGCUCCUCCUCCUCGGAGGUCUGGCUAAGUCCUGAGCUCCACAGGCCCCUCAUCCAGGCACCUGAAGUUCAAGCAUCUGAGGUUGGCACAACAGCUAUGUAACACCCCUCCUCAGAGAGUCUGAAUCCUGACUUUGCAGGGCUCCUUCUGCAAGCUUUAAUAACCCAUACCUCUUCCCUGUCUUCAGUCUUGCUUCCUGCAAUCACUACCUUUGUAAUUCCACAGUGUGUCUUCUUUGUCUUUUCAACUUUCCAAUACCUAGUCAACAUUUCUUUAAGUAUCAUUUUCUAUUAGUGUGACUGGAGUGGAUUCCAUCUCCUGACAUAAUUCGAAGGUGCAGAAGCAAGAAGCACAUACUAUUUAGUCCAUUUCUCAAUCUUAAUGUUAAGGUUAAGACCUCAAUUUUAAAAGAUAUAUAUAAUUACCACAGUCUGUAGAACUUUAUUAUAAACACAACAAUAUUGUGAACGUUGAGGGAGUACUGAUUGUUCUAGAUGUUUCCUUCAUGUAUAUUAUCAUACCUAAGGAAGAAACAGAUUACCAAAGAAUAUAGAUAAGACUAUUUUAAAAUCUGAAUUUCUUCUAAUCUCGAGCCCAUGAUACAUAUUCAAAUAUCUGCUUAAUCUUUAAUACAAGUAGAAAUCCAAUAAUUCUAGAGAUAAUUACAAAAAUAUAACUAGCUACCACUUAGUAAGUAUUCACUCCUUGUAAGCAUUCUUUUUCAUUUAUUCUUCAAAAAAAAACACUUAGGAUAAUAACAGACAUUAUUAUCAUUGUUUUCAAAAGAAUAUCUAUAUGAAAUAAUUUAUAGAAGAUCACAUAGUUGCUGAAACAGGAUGGGAACUCAGGCUUAUUUUUCUGUUGUUUCUUUUUUUACUGCAAAGUCUAUUUCCUAUAAAAUCAUAUUUCAAUUUACUUUCAAAUUAUAUAGCUAAGGAUAAAUGGCUUUUUAUUUUUUACUUAGUUUUCAAAAACAUUUCGUGUUUCCUGUACGAUUUGUUAUCAAUAACUGCACUUAUUCCAGUAAAAGAUCCAGUGUUUCUUACAGUGUGGCCCAGUACCAGUCCUGUUCAUCUUAAUUUAGACCUACUGCCAGUGUUCUACUUUUGCCUUAACUCAAAGCCUCUUUCUCAUUUUCUAAAGCUGAUAUUUAUCCAGCUAUCCUAAGAAGCCCUAUUUUUAAUUAAUUCCCUACAUUCAGAGAUGUUACCAACUGUCAAAAGUAGUACAGUCUUCUGUGUGAUCUAAGUAAGGACAUGAACUGGGCUCAUUCAUUCCUAUUUUGGGUCCAAGGACCCUAAUAGGCCACAGACUGCAAACUAAAUCCUAUUACCAUUUCUGCACUAAUGUGAGUCUACUGCUCAUAUAAUUCUUUAGUUUUUACAUUAUAAAAGUCAAUACAGGAGUUCCCGUCGUUGUUCAGUGGUUAACGGAUCCAACUAGGAACCAUGAGGUUGAAGGUUCAAUCCCUGGCGGCCUUGCUGAGUGGUUUAAGGAUCCAGCGUUGCCCUGAGCUGUGGUGUAGGUUUGAGACGUGGCUUGGAUCCCACAUUGCUAUGGCUGUGGUGUAGGCCGGCGGCUACAGCUCCGAUUCUACCCCUAGCCUGGGAACCUCCAUUUACCAGGAAGGUAAAGCUGGUGUCCUUCUCCAUGGAACAUACCAAUCCUUGGUGGCUUAGGCUGGUACUGAAAAGGAGGUGAGAGAGUUGGUUUGAGAAAAACCAGAGAACAGAAUGGAGGCAUUCAUAGGUGAGGUGGGGUAUAUGGUAUUUGAAGAAUAUAGUAAAACAGAUCUGGAGAGGAACCAUUGCCAGUACGUAUUUUAUUGCCAGUUAGGUUACCAAAAAGGAAACCACAAAAGGGUCUCACUCCAACUUUCAAGUACGUAUUAUAUGGAUGACUGUGUCCUGCUGUUCAUCAUUUUCACAAGGUUCGGGAUAAGAGGAAAUAGACUUUCAUUGGAGGCAAGUUUUCAUUUAAGACAGAAUGAAUUGAUAACAGGUAUUAAAACUUGAUAUAUGUUGCAAGGGACAUUGUGUAACUGAAUAUAGAACAGACAGUGUGUGCCCAGAAGUUUAGUGAAAGAAAAAUUACUUUAGAUUGGAACAAACAUGGAAGAACAAACAUAGAAUGUGACGUAAAUCAUGUAAUAAAAUCUGAGAGUAUUACUGUAAUAAAAGAAUCAUGGAAUAAAUAAAAUAUAUGAGAAUAUUUAAUAGCCUUUAUACUAACAUCUAUUUAUCAUUUUUCACAUGUUAGUAACUCUGACUGAUUUAUAUGUGCCAGUCACUGUUGUAAAUGCUUUGCAUAUAUUAAAUCAUUUAAUUCUCACAACAACAUUAUCACAUUAUUUAGGUUCUGGUCUUAUAAUCAUUUUGUAUAUGAGAAAACUGAACCAUAAAGGAAAUAACUGAUGAAUCCAUUCAUUCGGCUAAGUUGCUGAAGUGGGCUUUGAAUCCUGCUUGUUUGGUUUCAGAGGCCAAAGCCUUAACCAAAAGCACACAUACCCACAUCAACAUACUAUGUUAGACAUGCCAACAUCCAGAAAUUAAGAUUUGCUCCAGGGUGAUUUCCAACUUGAGAAUGCCUUUGUCAUCCAACAAACAUGAUUACUUUGAAUACUGAAAGGUACAUAGAUGGUUAUUUUUUUUUUUUAAGGACCUCUUUGUUGAAAAAUCUUCAAGAUUAAGGAAGCAAGGCUAAAACUGAAUUAAAACGUUUAUUCUUACAGCUAAAGCAGUGAGAUUAUGAAGACAAAUGGAAAAGUGACCUGAACAUUUUUUUUCUCCCUUACCAUUUCCUUCCCUCCCAUGCAAACAGUAUUAUUUUGGUUCUCAGUAUACAGGUAUAGUCAUUUUGGACAGUUUAACUUUUCCUUGCUUUUUCUUUUUUAAUAAUAUGAACUUAGAACACCCAUGUCAUUGAAACUCAAACAAAUAUUUAACCUCUUGGUGUCCAGUUAAUAUUUAGGGUGCAAAAAAGAAACAUGAUGCUAGACUUGACAUUUAACUGUUGUAAAUGGGGGCACAGAGAGAGACUACAAUAUUUGACUGCUUGUUAACAGCACACUUUUUAUUUGAUCUCAGUAGUAACCCCCUUGAUGGCAUAUCUCAACAUGGUUAUCUGGUUUUGCCUUCAACUACUAAAGUUACUUUUUCACUGUCGGUCUAAUAGAAUAGUGCCUAGUGCCUCCAAGAAAUCGUUUGGAUCAUAAUUUCUUCCUUUGCCUUGAAUUCACAACUGCAAAUUCCAUUUAAAAGGAAAAUUUUGUUCCAAAUGUACAAUUGCCCCAGAAACCAGAAGUCUAAUGGUGAAUUUGAAGAAGAGAUAACUUACAAAAGUGCAAAUAAUCAUGCAUAUGCAUGAAGUGUACCCUUCAGGCCACCAAAACAAAACAAAAAACAGAAAAACCAAAAAGCCAAACUUCCAUUUGAAAUCUCACGUCUGUCACUUGGGGCAGUUUUAACAAAAUAUCUUUACUCACUUAACUCUUCAUCCUAGUUAGAUUUCAAAACUCCCUGGUGGAAAAUUAGGUGGUUUAGAGAGUGUGUUGACUUGUGUAGAAGAGAAGGCUCCCUAAUAAUUUGAAGAGUUAAUACAUUCCAAUAUCAUCCUGCAGAAAUUGGCUCUAGGAUUCUCUAGUGACCUCAAACCGUCUAUGUUCAAAUGCAUCUUAAACACCUAGUGUGGGAAGGAGUAAUUUUGCUGCUGAAGAAAAUUUAAAUCACUGACUACUAUGUUGUCUAAAUUGUCCUCAGGGGACAAGUGACAAUUGCGAAAGCUGCACUGAUUCAGUAGAAAAACUUAACAGAGGGAUUCUCUAGUGGCCUGAAAGAGUUAAUGCUCAAGUUUCUGCUGAAGUCAAGUCACUUUCUUUAGGGUAAGGAACUCAAUAGGAGCUUCUGCUUCCAGGUCAAAAGGCACAAGGUCAGGCAGCAACAGGGAGGGAGGAGGCAUUACACAGUAAGGAGAGAUGGUGACAACAAUGACAGAGUCUUCCAGCACCAUUCUCAAGGCUGAACUACUUUAAAGCAUUAAGCUUUGGUGG
rnacentral:lncRNA from 1 species